GACGAACGCUGGCGGCGUGCUUAACACAUGCAAGUCGAACGGAAAGGCCCUGCUUUUGUGGGGUGCUCGAGUGGCGAACGGGUGAGUAACACGUGAGUAACCUGCCCUUGACUUUGGGAUAACUUCAGGAAACUGGGGCUAAUACCGGAUAGGAGCUCCUGCUGCAUGGUGGGGGUUGGAAAGUUUCGGCGGUUGGGGAUGGACUCUCGGCUUAUCAGCUUGUUGGUGGGGUAGUGGCUUACCAAGGCUUUUACGGGUAGCCGGCCUGAGAGGGUGACCGGCCACAUUGGGACUGAGAUACGGCCCAGACUCCUACGGGAGGCAGCAGUGGGGAAUAUUGCACAAUGGGCGGAAGCCUGAUGCAGCAACGCCGCGUGCGGGAUGACGGCCUUCGGGUUGUAAACCGCUUUCGCCUGUGACGAAGCGUGAGUGACGGUAAUGGGUAAAGAAGCACCGGCUAACUACGUG
rnacentral:rRNA from 1 species